rnacentral:rRNA from 1 species
AAUCAACGCUGGCGGCGCGCUUAACACAUGCAAGUCGAACGAGAAAGCCGGAGCAAUCUGGUGAGUAAAGUGGCGUACGGGUGAGUAACACGUGGAUUAUCUGCCCUUUGGUGGGGAAUACCUCUGGGAAACCGGAGACAAUACCGCAUAAGUCCGAGAGGAGAAAGCCGAAAGGCGCCGAAGGAAGAGUCCGCGGCCGAUUAGCUAGUUGGUAGGGUAAUGGCCUACCAAGGCGAUGAUCGGUAGCCGGCCUGAGAGGGCACACGGCCACACUGGCACUGAGACACGGGCCAGACUCCUACGGGAGGCAGCAGUGGGGAAUCUUGCACAAUGGGGGAAACCCUGAUGCAGCGACGCCGCGUGAGCGAUGAAGCCCCUCGGGGUGUAAAGCUCUUUCGACAGGAACGAUUAUGACGGUACCUGGAGAAGAAGCUGCGGCUAACUACGUGC